GAGCUCGCUUCAGCAGCACUUCCACUGUAACACUGGACCGGUACAGAGAAGAUCAGCGCAGGCCUUGCUCGAGGAUGACACACAAACUCACGAAGCAGUCCAUAUUUUU
ensembl:snRNA U6 U6 spliceosomal RNA